AGUGAACGCUGGCGGUAGGCCUAACACAUGCAAGUCGAACGGCAGCACAGUAAGAGCUUGCUCUUACGGGUGGCGAGUGGCGGACGGGUGAGGAAUACAUCGGAAUCUACUUUUUCGUGGGGGAUAACGUAGGGAAACUUACGCUAAUACCGCAUACGACCUACGGGUGAAAGCAGGGGAUCUUCGGACCUUGCGCGAUUGAAUGAGCCGAUGUCGGAUUAGCUAGUUGGCGGGGUAAAGGCCCACCAAGGCGACGAUCCGUAGCUGGUCUGAGAGGAUGAUAAGCCACACGGGAACUGAGACACGGUCCAGACUCCUACGGGGGGCAGCAGUGGGGAAUAUUGGACAAUGGGCGCAAGCAUGAUCCAGCCAUACCGCGUGGGUGAAGAAGGCCUUCGGGUUGUAAAGCCCUUUUGUUGGGAAAGAAAAGCAGCAGGUUAAUACCCCGCUGUUCUGACGGUACCCAAAGAAUAAGCACCGGCUAACUUCGUG
rnacentral:rRNA from 1 species